AUCACUUGUCUUUUAAAUGGAGACCUGUAUGAAUGGCACGACGAGGGCUGAACUGUCUCCUACCUCUAGCCAGUGAAAUUGAUCUCCCCGUGCAGAAGCGGGGUUACCACCAUAAGACGAGAAGACCCCAUGGAGCUUAAGACACUAGGUAGUCCAUUUUAAGUAACUCAUUUUAACUGGGGAUGAAGUUAUGGUAUACUCUCUUACUUGUUUUCGGUUGGGGCGACCACGGAGGAAAAGAUAGCCUUCAUGUGGAUAGGGGGUAUAACUUCUACAAUUGAGAUUAACAGGUCUAGAUUACAGAAAUUUUGACCAAAGUGAUCCGGCUAUUGCCGAUUAGCGAAAUAAGUUACCCUGGGGAUAACAGCGCAAUCUUCUCUGAGAGUUCCUAUCGACGAGGGGGUUUACGACCUCGAUGUUGGAUCAGGACUUCCUAAUGGUGUAGCCGCUAUUAAGGGUUCGUUUGUUCAACGAUUAAAGUCCUACGUGAUCUGA
rnacentral:rRNA from 1 species